GCGCCGCUAGUUUAUCGGUAGAAUAUCUCGUUGCCAACGAGGUGAGCCGGGUUCGACUCCCGGGCAGCGCA
rnacentral:tRNA from 1 species